UCCCUGGUGGUCCAGUGGUUAAGACUCUGUGCUGUUGAUGCAGGGGGCCUGGGUUCGAUCCCUGGUUGGGGAA